rnacentral:rRNA from 1 species
CAGUAGCCGCGGGAAUACGAAGGGGGCUAGCGUUGUUCGGAAUUACUGGGCGUAAAGCGCACGUAGGCGGAUAUUAAGUCAGGGGUGAAAUCCCAGAGCUCAACUCUGGAACUGCCUUUGAUACUGGGUAUCUUGAGUAUGGAAGAGGUGAGUGGAAUUCCGAGUGUAGAGGUGAAAUUCGUAGAUAUUCGGAGGAACACCAGUGGCGAAGGCGGCUCACUGGUCCAUUACUGACGCUGAGGUGCGAAAGCGUGGGGAGCAAACAGGAUUAGAUACCCCAGUAGUCCCUGUCUCUUAUACA